rnacentral:rRNA from 1 species
UCUACGGGUGGCAGCAGUGGGGGAUAUUGCACAAUGGGGGGAACCCUGAUGCAGCGACGCCGCGUGGGUGAAGGAGUGCUUCGGCAUGUAAAGCCCUAUCGGCAGGGAAGAAGCAAGACGGUACCUGACUAAGAAGCCCCGGCUAACUACGUGCCAGCAGCCGCGGUAAUACGUAGGGGGCGAGCGUUAUCCGGAUUCACUGGGUGUAAAGGGAGCGUAGACGGCGAGACAAGUCUGGAGUGAAAGGCCGGGGCCCAACCCCGGGACUGCUCUGGAAACUGCCUGGCUGGAGUACAGGAGAGGUAAGUGGAAUUCCUAGUGUAGCGGUGAAAUGCGUAGAUAUUAGGAGGAACACCAGUGGCGAAGGCGGCUUACUGGACUGUAACUGACGUUGAGGCUCGAAAGCGUGGGGAGCAAACAGGAUUAGAUACCCUAGUAGUC